ACUGCGUCCAUCGACAGUGCUGUAGUUAGUAUUGUUGACGUGAGGACAUAGUCUCCGAAAGUAAGGUGAAAAUUUUUUUCUUAUAAUACGGCCCUGCCACAUUUGCUUCGCUCUUUCCAAUUCUAUCGGGCUCCGCCAGACCGAAGAGAGGGGUUUCAAGGUCAGACUCUAAAGGGUUAACGCAUCCUGAUGAAGUGUUUCACACUUAUUCUAUGGAUAACAUAAUUAUGCCUUUCUGACAUGGACGCGAGCUAGCGAAAAAUUGGGGCAGUGCUGAAAAUUUUCGGAAAAAUCUAUCUUCCAUUCUGGCUGCCAGAUGGCAUUUUAAAAAAAAUACACAUGUAUUGAGUGUUACUUUUUUUUAUCAAUCAGUAAAUACAUUCAUAAUUACAAUAAAAAUUGAUUGGCA